rnacentral:rRNA from 1 species
UGGGGAAUUUUGGACAAUGGGGGGAACCCUGAUCCAGCCAUGCCGCGUGAGUGAAGAAGGCCUUCGGGUUGUAAAGCUCUUUUGGCCGGAAAGAAAAGGCCACGGAUAACACCCGUGGUUCUUGACGGUACCGGCAGAAUAAGCACCGGCUAACUACGUGCCAGCAGCCGCGGUAAUACGUAGGGUGCGAGCGUUAAUCGGAUUUACUGGGCGUAAAGCGUGCGUAGGCGGUCCCCCAAGUCCGCUGUGAAAGCCCCGGGCUUAACCUGGGAAUGGCAGUGGAAACUAUGGGACUUGAAUCUGGCAGAGGGGGGUGGAAUGCCACGUGUAGCAGUGAAAUGCGUAGAGAUGUGGCGGAACACCGAUGGCGAAGGCAGCCCCCUGGGCUGAGAUUGACGCUCAGGCACGAAAGCGUGGGGAGCAAACAG